rnacentral:rRNA from 1 species
UGAGGAAUAUUGGGCAAUGCCCGCAAGGGUGACCCAGCAACGCCGCGUGGAGGAUGAAUGUCGUAAGAUUGUAAACUCCUGUUAGAGGGGAAGAAUAGUACCGGUUGGACCGGUAUAUGACUGUACCCUCAGAGAAAGCCCCGGCUAACUACGUGCCAGCAGCCGCGGUAAUAAGUAGGGGGCAAGCGUUGUCCGGAUUUACUGGGUGUAAAGGGCGCGCAGGAGGGAUAAAAAGUAAGUGGUGAAAUCCUACAGCUUAACUGUAGAACUGCCUUUAAUACUUUUAUUCUUGAGUUCGGGAGAGAGAGACGGAAUUCCAGGUGUAGUGGUGAAAUACGUAGAUAUCUGGAAGAACACCAGUUGCGAAGGCGGUCUCUUGGUCCGACACUGACGCUGAGGCGCGAAAGCGUGGGGAGCAAACA